rnacentral:rRNA from 1 species
AUUGAACGCUGGCGGCAUGCCUUACACAUGCAAGUCGAACGGCAGCGCGGGGCAACCUGGCGGCGAGUGGCGAACGGGUGAGUAAUACAUCGGAACGUGCCCUGGAGUGGGGGAUAACCAUCCGAAAGGAUGGCUAAUACCGCAUCUGCGCUGAGGAGGCAAGCAGGGGAACGCAAGGCCUUGUGCGCUUGGAGCGGCCGAUGUCAGAUUAGCUAGUUGGCGGGGUAAAGGCCCACCAAGGCGACGAUCUGUAGCGGGUCUGAGAGGAUGAUCCGCCACACUGGGACUGAGACACGGCCCAGACUCCUACGGGAGGCAGCAGUGGGGAAUUUUGGACAAUGGGGGCAACCCUGAUCCAGCCAUGCCGCGUGAGUGAAGAAGGCCUUCGGGUUGUAAAGCUCUUUCGGCCGGGAAAAAAUCGCCUCUCCUAAUAUGGGGGGUGGAUGAUGGUACCGGACUAAGAAGCACCGGCUAACUACGUGCCAGCAGCCGCGGUAAUAC